rnacentral:rRNA from 1 species
UACGUAGGGUGCAAGCGUUGUCCGGAAUUAUUGGGCGUAAAGAGCUCGUAGGCGGUCUGUCGCGUCUGCUGUGAAAACUCGGGGCUUAACCCCGGGCCUGCAGUGGGUACGGGCAGACUAGAGUGCGGUAGGGGAGACUGGAAUUCCUGGUGUAGCGGUGAAAUGCGUAGAUAUCGGGAGGAACACCUGUGGCGAAGGCGGCCACCUGGUUGGAUACUGACGCUGAGACGCGAAAGCGUGGGGAGCAAACAGG